rnacentral:rRNA from 1 species
AUGGUGGCUCCCAUUCGGUGUGAAAACAUAAAUCUGAACAACAUUCUUCAAGCCUUCCCGGUGGUGCGGCCCGCUUUCCCGAUGCGAUAUCUUGGUCUUCCGCUAUCAGUCAAGCGUCUCAAAAAUAUUCACUUUCAACCUCUCAUUGACAAGGUCGCUAGCAAGCUCCCCCCUUGGCUGGGAAGACACGUUGCUAGUGAUGGGCGUGUAGUUCUCGUUAAAGCGGUCCUCACGGCCAUCGCGAUUUAUCACCUCACACCUCUCGACAUCCCCGUGGAGGUGCUAAACGCAAUUGACAGCCUUCGGCGUGCAUACCUUUGGGCUGGUACAGACAAAGUUUUGGCAGGGAAAUGCAAGAUUAAUCAGGAUCUUGUCUGCAAGCCUAAACAGUUUGGCGCCUAG